rnacentral:rRNA from 1 species
GUGUCAGCAGCCGCGGUAAGACGAACCGAGCGAACGUUGUUCGGAAUCACUGGGCUUAAAGGGCGCGUAGGCGGGUGCUCAAGUCUGUGGUGAAAUCCUCCAGCUUAACUGGAGAACUGCCAUGGAUACUGGGUGUCUCGAGGAACGUAGGGGUAUGCGGAACGAUUGGUGGAGCGGUGAAAUGCGUUGAUAUCAAUCGGAACUCCGGUGGCGAAGGCGGCAUACUGGACGUUAUCUGACGCUGAGGCGCGAAAGCUAGGGGAGCAAACGGGAUUAGAUACCCCGGUAGUCC